GACAAUGUUUCUCGUCCAUUGUCCCGCAUGAUCGUUUCGCUCCCGCAUAGGCCCAUGGCAAGGCCAUCAUGCCUCAAUCCUUGCCACUGCCGCGCCAUGUCUAAUGACAAAGAAUCAGGUCCUAACAAACCACCCGCACCCUUUGAAAUUGACAUCCUCGUCGAGCCGACUUAACGAAUCAACCCCAAGGGGUUGUUCACAAACAACUCCCCUGUAGGUGCAUUCACAUUUGCCACAAUGGCAUUUGCUUCCGCCACUUGUUCCUGUCUCUCCGCAGCCAGCAUAACAUUCACCCUAGCCUGCACCGGACAGUCCCUCUUCAAGUGCGGUCCCCCACAAGUGAAGCAGCCACUGAAUUUGCCGCCUCUGUCCUUGCCUUUGGAAGUCUCCGUCUGCCUUCCAUUCUUGGCAAGACCCACGUCUUCGACAGCUUGGCCUUUCCCACUUUUCUUCCAUUCCUUUCCCUUGUCCUUCCUUCCAUCGGACUUUGAAUGCGAAGACUCAGCAGGGUCAUGACCUAUAUUGAGGUCAGCCAACGCAUCUGCCGCUGCAAUAGCAAUAGAGAGGCUUUGAACAUUCUGCCUUCUCAACUCUAAUUGCGCCCAGCCCUUCAACCCGCUCAUGAAGUAAUGCAGCUUGUCUUCUUCUGCCAUGUUACUUACAUUGAGCAUCAAGGAUGAAAAUUCCUUGACAUACUCCCUUACCGUACCACUUUGUUUCAAGUGGCGCAGUCCGUCUCUCGCCACCCACGACGAGUUGGUUGGAAGGAAUUGGGAUUUUAAUUCCUUCUUCAACGUCUCCUAAGUUUCAAUCUUGGGCAGUCCAGCACUUUCCGCUUCUACUACUCGUGUACGCCACCAUACCUUUGCAUCAUCCGUCAAAUACAUCGGUGUGAUGGUCACUUUUUCAUCAUUCGGCACACAAGCAGCUAGGAAAUACUGCUCCAUAUCCCAUAAGAAAUUUUCCAGUUCUUUGGCACUUCUUGCACCGCCAUAAGCCUUUGGCUCCGGGAUCCUCACUUUGGUGCGAUCAUUGUUUCUAGGGGCAUUAUUUUGUAAUGCCCUUCGAAGUUGAACUACCUCCUCGCGCAGUUCUUCCUCAUCCUUGCGUACCAAGGCCAUUUCUGCCAGUGUAGUCUCAUACCUCGCUGCAUAAUCUGCCUCUAGGCGGGCCAUUCUCGCAAGAACAAAAGAAUCGGAACCCAUUUCAAGAGCCUGCCCAAUGAGUGCUUCCAACUGUUCCACUCUUUGGCGCAAUUCCGUAUUUGUGCCACCAGCCAUGUUCUCAAACAGCAACACGUAAUCUGCUACUGAUCGUCUUACCACCGCUACGAACUUUGCUCUACUCUGAUAUUAGUUUAUCAGGGUAGCUCUGAUACCAGCUUGUCACAGGGUCAAAUUGGGCCAAUUUUUCGCGCCUAAUUGACACUGCGCGGCAGCAACCUGACACUCAAGUUACUCAGCCUUUUCCAACACUUGGCCAACUUUUUAACAAGUUCGGCCUUAAGCAAAAUUCGAUAGCAACAUAAAGAGAACACAAUCAAGUACGGGAAAAUCCCAACCUUUGUAUUAAUAUGAAAAUAUACAAAGGACCCCUCACUUUGCUAUGAACACAAGUCGUUCAUAGCCCACUUCGACCAGCCAAGAUCACAAGUCGAUCUUGUCACACUAAGACCUGCCCAAAUGCCCAGCCUUAGCCCACUUUUGAAACACUCAGAAACCCUCACGUUUCUUUCUUGUUUCCCACUUUACUAUGAACAUNNNNNNNNNNNNNNNNNNNNNNNNNUCUUAGCCGCAUUCCUGCCUCGUAUUUGUCAACACUUGUUUCACCCAUGCCAUUGUUUGUAUCUUGUCUCACAUAGCUUUGCCUUAGCUAUUGAAACCCUUUGCCAUCAUUCCGUGCCCCCGCAAUUUAGCUUAGCUUGUACUUGGUGCUCCCACAAUCCGAACUGCCCGUACCUUUGUCUUUGGCGCGCAUGCCGCUUCAUGCCACCCAAACGUGUCCGCACUGCCUCGACAAGCCUUUGCCAAACUUGUCUUGCCUGUCCCAAGACUUUGGCCAAUACUUGUUCCCCUUGAUAAUGUUUCUCGUCCAUUGUCCCGCAUGAUCGUUUCGCUCCCGCAUAGGCCCAUGGCAAGGCCAUCAUGCCUCAAUCCUUGCCACUGCCGCGCCAUAUCUGAUGACAAAGAAUCAGGUCCUAACAAACCACCCGCACCCUUUGAAAUCGAUGUCCUCGUCGAGCCGACUUAACGAAUCAACCCCAAGGGGUUGUUCACAUACAACUCCCCUGUAGGUGCAUUCACAUUUGCCACAAUGGCAUUUGCUUCCGCCACUUGUUCCUGUCUCUCCGUGGCCAGCAUAACAUUCACUCUAGCCUGCACCGGACAGUCCCUCUUCAAGUGCGGUCCCCCACAAGUGAAGCAGCCACUGAAUUUGCCGCUUCUGUCCUUGCCCUUGGAAGUCUCUGUCUGCCUUCCAUUCUUGGCAAGACCCACGUCUUCGACAGCUUGGCCUUUCCCACUUUUCUUCCAUUCCUUUCCCUUGUCC
rnacentral:lncRNA from 1 species